UACAGAGGUCUCAAGCGUUGUUCGGAUUCAUUGGGCGUAAAGGGUGCGUAGGUGGCGAGGUUAGUCAGGUGUGAAAUCUCGGGGCUCAACCCCGAAACUGCACUUGAUACUGCCUUGCUAGGGUACUGGAGAGGAGAUUGGAAUUUACGGUGUAGCAGUGAAAUGCGUAGAUAUCGUAAGGAAGACCAGUGGCGAAGGCGAAUCUCUGGACAGUUACUGACACUGAGGCACGAAGGCCAGGGGAGCAAACGGG
rnacentral:rRNA from 1 species